rnacentral:sRNA from 1 species
CUCCAUCAGAAUAGUCUCUCAUCAUAUAUGUGAAACAUAUUUUAAAUUGGUAAUUGAUGUAGGAGUGCCCAGCUUAUUGGGGGCAGUGUUCCUUCUAGGCAGUGGUACAUUACACAUCAUGAAGAACAAGCCAGUAAGCAGAGUUCCUUGAGUGACUUUGUUUAAGUUGCAUUAUUCAGACCUUGUCUUCCCUUGAUUGUAACUCAUGAGCCAAAUCUAACUUUUCUUCCUCACUUUCUUUAUAGUUAGUGUUCAAUUACAUCAACUUAGUAUUCAAGUAUGUGUAAAGGCAUACAAAACCAGGAAAAUACAAGCUGAAAUAUCAGAAUACCAAAAUAAUGUCAACAAGUUUAGGACAACAAAUCUUAAGAAACUAAGUGGAAAUAGAAAAAAACAAAACAAAACAGCUGCAUAUGAUCACCACUAUUGCAUUUUCGUGAGGAGAUGCUGAGUUCCUGUAUAGUGAGCUGGAAGAUGGAGGGUUUCCUAAGAGAGAAGUCUUUACAAAGCCGUGUCUUCAAGUAGCUUCUUGGAAUCUGUCCUCAGUUGGAUUUCAUUUGUAAAUUAAGACACCAAGAACCAAUAGCUGGGAAGGACCGAAAGAGUCUACUUUUAGCCUUCCCAGGGCUUGGAACCAUGAGAAGGAGGAAGGGAGAGGUCUGCCUGCUGGAUACUUGGAGUGCCAACAGAGGAGAGGCUGACUCCCAUAAGAACAUGCAACCUGUUCCCAGGCUUCUGUCCUGGUAUUCAUUCUUCAUACUCCAAAAGCAUGUGGGAUAAAUCAAACUAGCCACAAGAAGUGGAAUGUUCAGGAGAAAGAAGAGUAAAAUGAAGGUGUUUCCUCAUCCCUGAAGAAUCUUUGACAAUGUCUCAUGAGGAGCUUCAUUUGAUAUCCACAGUGCAUGUGAUAAACUUCUUUGAUAUAUAUAGAUGAAAAUGGUGUAACUUGAGGGCUGACAUCACAUGUUUGUGGAAAUUAAGGUCCCUGGAAAGAUUCCACUUUAUGGGAAUUAGGUCCCACUUCUACCCAAAAAAAUCUGUUUAUGUGAACACUUCAAAUAAUUUUAAUGGAUUUGGUUAAUUAAGCUACCGUUUGACAGGUAUUAAGGGUUCAGAAAGAACUCACAAAUUCUGAUGUCAGGGUUAUAAACUGGCCAUCGCAUCACAUAUCCUCGGGGAAGGAUAAGCAGUGUUAUGUUUAAAACAUUCAAUAUCCACUGAGAAUUAAGUAUAGGCAAUCCUACAGCAGUGAUAGGUACAGAAUAUCUAAACAAAUCUGUGCUAUGUAAGCACAUUUAUGUCUUCAGGAUAAAAAAUGACAAACAAAUCCAGAAAUGUCUUGAAUCCUGCUGUACCUAAAACUAUGCAAACUCCAUCAUAGAACCACAAUUUAAAUACAUAUUAAAUGUUGCUUUUUAAAAAA